rnacentral:rRNA from 1 species
AGGACGAACGCUGGCGGCGUGCUUAACACAUGCAAGUCGAGCGGAAAGGCCCUUCGGGGUACUCGAGCGGCGAACGGGUGAGUAACACGUGAGUAAUCUGCCCCUAGCUCUGGGAUAGCUCCGGGAAACCGGGAUUAAUACCGGAUACGACCACUUUAGACAUCUGUUGUGGUGGAAAGAAUUUUGGCUAGGGAUGAGCUCGCGGCCUAUCAGCUUGUUGGUGGGUAAUGGCCUACCAAGGCGACGACGGGU